AAGGCAAUGAAAAUUUUGUACCACGCAGAGUGAUUCGUGGCCGACGAUCUGCCAAAAUAAUUCCAUUCUCGCUUACUGUAACAGCUACCUUUCGUAAGGUGCCACCAUUUCCACACUUGGGACAGAACAUUCUCCCAAUUUCAGCAGUCACAGUAUAACAUGCAUGGCAUUUCAGUAUCCACCUGUGCAGCUGGCGGAUUUGCAUUCCUCCAGGUGCCAGUAGUUGUAAUCCCAUUUGCAGAAGAACAUUCUGCAUUGCAAAGUCACUAGUUACACAAGCUACACUGGAGUCUGAUAAAGAUUUAAGCGUCCAGCUCUGCUCACUAGCAUCAUCAUCCACAUGUGACACAUCAAUA
rnacentral:misc_RNA from 1 species